GAUGAAUAACGCAGCGAAAUGCGAUAAGUAAUGUGAAUUGCAGAAUUCAGUGAAUCAUCGAAUCUUUGAACGCAUCUUGCGCUCCUUGGUAUUCUGAGGAGCAUGCCUGUUUGAGUGUCAUUAAAUUCUCAACCGCACUGACUUUGAAUUGGUGUGGCUUGGAUUUGGGGGGAAAAUUGUUGUGGGCUUUUUUGUAUAGUCUGCUCCCCUGAAAUUGAUUAGCGGUACCUUUGUGGAACUGUCUACAGGUGUGAUAAUUAUCUACAUCCUAGACAUCUGCUGGAAUGCUGCUUUCUAAACCUUACUUGUAUUGACAAUCUUGACCUCAAAUCAGGUAGGACUACCCGCUGAACUUAAGCAUAUCAAUAAGCGGAGGA
rnacentral:misc_RNA from 1 species